GGAACCCAGCAUCUUUAAUAGGAUGUUACGAUUGUGUGAAUACAUAGCACAUUCGAGGUAGACGCAGAGAACUGAAACAUCUAAGUACCUGCAGGAAGAGAAAGAAAAUUCGAUUCCCUGAGUAGCGGCGAGCGAAACGGGAAAAGCCCAAACCAACAAGCUUGCUUGUUGGGGUUGUAGGACUCCAAUAUGGUCGUUCUUUCAGAUAGUCGAAUGACUUGGAAAAGUCAGUCAAAGAGGGUAAAAACCCCGUAGACGAAAUGUGGAAGACACCUAGGAGGAUCCUGAGUACGGCGGAACACGAGAAAUUCCGUCGGAAUCCGGGAGGACCAUCUCCCAAGGCUAAAUACUCCCUAGUGACCGAUAGUGAACCAGUACCGUGAGGGAAAGGUGAAAAGCACCCCGGAAGGGGAGUGAAAUAGAA
rnacentral:rRNA from 1 species